GACCUAGUGGUGUAAUCCUGCACACCUGUCUUCUAUACAGAGGCAAGCGGAUGUAACAGCAGGAGGUCUCGGUUCGAAUCCGGUUUAGGUCA